rnacentral:ncRNA from 1 species
CAAUUAUUGCUCUUCAACGAGGAAUGCCUAGUAGGCACGAGUCAUCAGCUCGUGCCGAUUACGUCCCUGCCCUUUGUACACACCGCCCGUCGCUACUACCGAUUGAAUGGCUCAGUGAGGCCUUCGGACUGGCGCAGGAGGGUUGGCAACGACCCCCCAGCGCCGGAAAGUUGGUCAAACUCGGUCAUUUAGAGGAAGUAAAAGUCGUAACAAGGUUUCCGUAGGUGAACCUGCGGAAGGAUCAUUA